CUAAUUGGCACGGGAGAUGCCCCCCUUGAUGAAGAAGGAGGUUUCCCCAGGGCGAGGCUUGGCCAUGGCACUCCGGCUGUGCUGACCCCUGCAAAUUCCCCAAAUGUGGGAAUCUCGACUGCAUGAUUUCUGGUAGGGGGGGACUGCGUUCGCGCUCUCCCCUG
ensembl:snRNA U1 U1 spliceosomal RNA